CACAUGCAAGUCGAACGAUGAACCCGCUUCGGUGGGGGAUUAGUGGCGAACGGGUGAGUAACACGUGGGCAAUCUGCCCUGCACUCUGGGACAAGCCCUGGAAACGGGGUCUAAUACCGGAUACGACAUCCUCCCGCAUGGGAAGGGUGUGGAAAGCUCCGGCGGUGCAGGAUGAGCCCGCGGCCUAUCAGCUUGUUGGUGGGGUGAUGGCCUACCAAGGCGACGACGGGUAGCCGGCCUGAGAGGGCGACCGGCCACACUGGGACUGAGACACGGCCCAGACUCCUACGGGAGGCAGCAGUGGGGAAUAUUGCACAAUGGGCGAAAGCCUGAUGCAGCGACGCCGCGUGAGGGAUGACGGCCUUCGGGUUGUAAACCUCUUUCAGCAGGGAAGAAGCGCAAGUGACGGUACCUGCAGAAGAAGCACCGGCUAACUACGUGCCAGCAGCCGCGGUAAUACGUAGGGUGCGAGCGUUGUCCGGAAUUAUUGGGCGUAAAGAGCUCGUAGGCGGCCUGUCACGUCGGAUGUGAAAGCCCGGGGCUUAACCCCGGGUCUGCAUUCGAUACGGGCAGGCUAGAGUUCGGUAGGGGAGAUCGGAAUUCCUGGUGUAGCGGUGAAAUGCGCAGAUAUCAGGAGGAACACCGGUGGCGAAGGCGGAUCUCUGGGCCGAUACUGACGCUGAGGAGCGAAAGCAUGGGGAGCGAACAGGAUUAGAUACCCUGGUAGUCCAUGCCGUAAACGUUGGGAACUAGGUGUGGGCGACAUUCCACGUCGUCCGUGCCGCAGCUAACGCAUUAAGUUCCCCGCCUGGGGAGUACGGCCGCAAGGCUAAA
rnacentral:rRNA from 1 species